CCGUAUAGGGGAGCCGCAGGGAAACCGAGUCUUAACUGGGCGUUAAGUUGCAGGGUAUAGACCCGAAACCCGGUGAUCUAGCCAUGGGCAGGUUGAAGGUUGGGUAACACUAACUGGAGGACCGAACCGACUAAUGUUGAAAAAUUAGCGGAUGACUUGUGGCUGGGGGUGAAAGGCCAAUCAAACCGGGAGAUAGCUGGUUCUCCCCGAAAGCUAUUUAGGUAGCGCCUCGUGAACUCAUCUUCGGGGGUAGAGCACUGUUUCGGCUAGGGGGUCAUCCCGACUUACCAACCCGAUGCAAACUACGAAUACCGAAGAAUGUUAUCACGGGAGACACACGGCGGGUGCUAACGUCCGUCGUGAAGAGGGAAACAACCCAGACCGCCAGCUAAGGUCCCAAAGUCAUGGUUAAGUGGGAAACGAUGUGGGAAGGCACAGACAGCCAGGAUGUUGGCUUAGAAGCAGCCAUCAUUUAAAGAAAGCGUAAUAGCUCACUGGUCGAGUCGGCCUGCGCGGAAGAUGUAACGGGGCUAAACC
rnacentral:rRNA from 1 species